AAUUGGAACGAUAAUAAUAUACUAAAAUUGGAACGAUAACCGGAGAAGAUUAGCAUGGUCCCCUGCACAAGGAUGAACAUGCAUAUUCGUGAAAGCGUUCUAUAUUUAA